GACGAACGCUGGCGGCGUGCUUAACACAUGCAAGUCGAACGAAGUGGCGAACGGGUGAGUAACGCGUAAUCAACCUGCCCUUCAGAGGGGGAUAACCGUUGGAAACGACUGCUAAUACCGCAUACUGAAGGAGGGGCUUGCGUCUGAUUAGCUAGUUGGAGGGGGAACGGCCCACCAAGGCGAGGAUCAGUAGCCGGACGGAAAGGAUGAAGGGCCACAGUGGGACUGAGACACGGCCCAGACUCCUACGGGAGGCAGCAGUGGGGAAGCUUGCGCAAUGGAAGAAAGUCUGACGGAGCAACGCGGCGUGAGUGAUGACGGCCUGCGGGUUGUAAAGCUCUGUUAAUCGGGACGCGGUACCGGAAUAGAAGGCCACGGCUAACUACGUGCCAGCAGCCGCGGUAAUAC
rnacentral:rRNA from 1 species